ACUCCUACGGGAGGCAGCAGUGGGGAAUAUUGCACAAUGGGGAAACCCUGAUGCAGCCAUGCCGCGUGUGUGAAGAAGGCCUCGGUUGUAAAGCACUUCAGUAGGGAGGAAGGUAGUGUAGUUAACACCUGCACUAUUUGACGUUACCUACAGAAGAAGCACCGGCUAACUCCGUGCCAGCAGCCGCGGUAAUACGGAGGGGUGCGAGCGUUAAUCGGAAUUACUGGGCGUAAAGCGCAUGCAGGCGGCCUGUUAAGUCAGAUGUGAAAGCCCGGGGGCUUAACCUCGGAAUUGCAUUUGAAACUGGCAGGCUAGAGUCUUGUAGAGGGGGUAGAAUUUCAGGUGUAGCGGUGAAAUGCGUAGAGAUCUGAAGGAAUACCAGUGGCGAAGGCGGCCCCCUGGACAAAGACUGACGCUCAGAUGCGAAAGCGUGGGGAGCAAAC
rnacentral:rRNA from 1 species